rnacentral:tmRNA from 1 species
UGCGGGGACGAGACAUCACCCGGACGCUGUUGUUCCGAAGCAAUCCGACAUGGUGGUGCAGGUACAUCGGCACUAACCAUUGCAGGCCUCUAUGCAAUGGCGACAUUUUAGAGGAUAAGGCGCAGGUUGGCGGUCGCGGUCUUGCCUGUGCUCGAAAACCCCACCGAUGACUAAGCGUGUAGAAAGCAGAUGGUUUCCCUGUUUGGACGAGGGUUCGACUCCCUCUAGCUCCACUU